GAUUAAGCCAUGCAUGUGUAAGUAUAAAUAGUUAACUUUGAAACUGCGAAUGGCUCAUUAUAUCAGUUAUAGUUUAUUUGAUGAAGAAUACUAAUUGGAUAACCGUAGUAAUUCUAGAGCUAAUACAUGUAUAAAGUCUUGUAGACUGCAUUUAUUAGAAUGAAAACCAUAGGUUUCGGCCUAUUCGUGAGUAAUAAUAACUAAUCAUAUCGUAUGCUUAUGUAACGAUGUGUCUUUCAAGUUUCUGCCCUAUCAGCUUUCGAUGGUA
rnacentral:rRNA from 1 species